rnacentral:rRNA from 1 species
UCAGUUAUCGUUUAUUUGAUAGUACCUACUUACUUGGAUAACCGUGGUAAUUCUAGAGCUAAUACAUGCUAAAAACCUCGACUUCGGAAGGGGUGUAUUUAUUAGAUAAAAAACCAAUGCCCUCCGGGGCUCCCUGGUGAUUCAUAAUAACUAAACGAAUCGCAUGGCCUUGCGCCGGCGAUGGUUCAUUCAAAUUUCUGCCCUAUCAACUUUCGAUGGUAGGAUAGUGGCCUACCAUGGUGGCAACGGGUAACGGGGAAUUAGGGUUCUAUUCCGGAGAGGGAGCCUGAGAAACGGCUACCACAUCCAAGGAAGGCAGCAGGCGCGCAAAUUACCCAAUCCCGACACGGGGAGGUAGUGACAAUAAAUACUGAUGUGGAGCUCUUUAGGGUUUCACAAUUGGAAUGAGAAAAAUCUAAACCACUUAAACGAGGAACAAUUGGAGGGCAAGUCUGGUGCCAGCAGCCGCGGUAAUUCCAGCUCCAAUAGCGUAUAUUAAAGUUGUUGCAGUUAAAAAGCUCGUAGUUGAACCUUGGGCCUGGCCGGCUGGUCCGCCUCACCGCGUGCACUGGUUCGGCCGGGCCUUUCCUCCUGGGGAACCGCAUGCCCUUCACUGGGUGUGCCGGGGAAUCAGGACUUUUACUUUGAAAAAAUUAGAGUGUUCAAAGCAGGCAUUUGCUCGAAUACAUUAGCAUGGAAUAAUAGAAUAGGACGUUGUGGUUCUAUUUUGUUGGUUUCUAGGACCGCCGUAU